CAUGCAAGUAGAACGGAAACGAUAAUAGCUUGCUAUUUGGCGUCGAGUGGCGAACGGGUGAGUAACGCGUAGGAAUCUACCCAGUAGAGGGGGAUAGCUCGAAGAAAUUCGGAUUAUUACCGCAUAAUCUCUACGGAGUAUCGAAGGCCUCUUUACAAUGCUUUUACUAUUGGAUGAGCCUGCGUUAGAUUAGUUAGUUGGUAGGGUAAAAGCCUACCAAGGCGACGAUCUAUAGCUGGUUUUACGAGAAUGAUCAGCCACACUGGAACUGAGACACGGUCCAGAUUCAUACGGGAGGCAGCAGUGAAGAAUAUUGGACAAUGGGGGAAACCCUGAUCCAGCAAUGUUGCGUGUGUGAAGAAGGUCCGAGGAUUGUAAAGCACUUUCAGUAAGCAAGAAAAAUGUAAAUCUAAUAGAUUUGCAUGUUGACCACUUAUAGAAGAAGCACCGGCUAACUCCGUGCCAGCAGCCGCGGUAAUACGGAGGGUGCGAGCGUUAAUCGGAAUUACUGGGCGUAAAGGGUAAGUANGCGGUUUAUAAAGUCACAUGUGAAAGCCCUANGCUUAACCUAGGAAGUGCA
rnacentral:rRNA from 1 species